GUGAAAUCCCUUUGUAUGUUUGCUGGGAGGACCCAACUGAAGUUUCUCACUCUGCAGCGGGGGACCUUGAUGAUGCAUGAGGACUGGCAUCCCCGGCCACAAUGAACCAUUGUGCAUCCUCCGGACUCACUCUACCUCUUAUGGAUACAAGAUGUCAAAGGUUGCCUGGCCUGGCCGACCAUGACAUGAAGCCUUCUCUGACUAAUCCUGUAGAAGAGUCUGUUGGUCCCUACCCCAGGAUAUGGUGUCUCUGGGUAACCUGACCCCAAUGACUGUUACCGAGUGGGAAGAUCCACAGAGGCUGUUGUCUCAUAGAAAAGUCCCAGAAUGACAGUCUCAGAGCUGGAAGGACCUCAGAGGCCAUUUGGCCAACCUGGAUCACGAUGGGGAACCCACCACUGCCUGUGGAGACAGCUCAUGUGCUUCAGGGACAUUUUUCAUGACACUAAGCGGAAGCCUUCAUCUCUAUGCCAUCCACCCAUAGCCAAGAGGAACAAAUCUAAACUGUCUUCCACAGAACAGCUGUUAAUAUACUUGAGGAUGGCUCUACUUUCUCCCUUCCAUCUCCUCAUCUUCAAGCUUGAUUUGCUCUUGAUAUGCUAUGUUUUCCAGCCUUUUAGCACCCUCGUUAUUCUUUCCUUGAUACUCGUCAGUUUGUCUAAACCCUCCCUAAAAUAUGUUACCCAUAACUGAACACAAUACUGCAGAUGUGGCUUGUCCAGGGAAUGAGCACUUCUUUCCUUUUAGACAUUUGUCAUUGACCCAGUUCCAAAUCCACUGAACACUGAGCUCACAUCUUUCCAUCAUAAUAACAAACAGGACAUAAGAGAAUUUGUCAAAAGAUUUGCUAAAACCAAAUAUACUUUAACCAUAGCAUUCCCCUUACCUACCAGUCAGCUUGUCUGGCAUGAUCUUUUCUCGAUGAAUCCAUGCUGUUGAUGAACCCAUGCCCCUUUUCUUUCCAGUGUUCUCAAAUGGUCACAUUGUAAAUAGGAUUGGGAGAAUCAGUCAGUCAACAAACAUUUAUUCAUUGCUCUGCUACAGUGUUGGAGAUAAAAACUGAACUUGUGAUUUCAAUGGCUUUUGGGGACUCUAAGAUGAGGAAAAUUCUUUUAUCAAUGAAGAUUGGCACCUUUUUGCAACCAAUAGUCUCAGAGAGUUUCCUGUUCUACAAUUUUGCCAGCAAAUAGAGUCAAAUUCACUGGUCAUUAGUUGGCAGAAACAUCUUCCCAUUAAAAAAAAACAACAACACAGGGGCAGCUAGGUGGCACAGUGGAUAGAGCACCAGCC